rnacentral:rRNA from 1 species
UACGUAGGUGGCAAGCGUUGUCCGGAUUUAUUGGGCGUAAAGAGCGCGCAGGCGGUGCGCCAAGUCCGAGGUGAAAUCUCCCGGCUCAACUGGGAGGGGUCUUCGGAUACUGGCGGACUCGAGGAGAGCAGAGGUGAGUGGAAUUCUGGGUGUAGUGGUGAAAUGCGUAGAUAUCCAGAGGAACACCAGCGGCGAAGGCGGCUCACUGGGCUCCACCUGACGCUGAGGCGCGAAAGCGUGGGGAGCGAAC